rnacentral:rRNA from 1 species
AGCUCCAAUAGCGUAUAUUAAAGUUGUUGCGGUUAAAAAGCUCGUAGUUGGAUCUCGGCGGGUAGAAGGCGGGAAACUGCUAAAGGUUACUGCCUUUUUACCCGUAGGUUUUGCUAGAGGUUUCAAGGUGGUCUUAAUCGAGUGUCCUGGGAUGCUAGCAGGUUUACUUUGAAAAAAGUAGAGUGCUCAAAGCAGGCUACUACGCUUGAAUAUUCGUGCAUGGAAUAAUAGAAUAGGAAGUCGUUUCUAUUUUGUUGGUUUUCGGAAAUCGACUUAAUGAUUAAUAGGGACAGUCGGGGGCAUUUGUAUUCAAACGACAGAGGUGAAAUUCUUGGACCGUUUGAAGACAAACUACUGCGAAAGCAUUUGCCAAGAAUGUUUUCA